UACGAGUGCUCCAAGCGUUAUCCGGAAUCAUUGGGCGUAAAGGGUGUGUAGGCGGUUGUGUUAGUCUUCUGUUAAAUUCUUCGGCUUAACCGGGGGCAUGCAGGGGAAACGGCACAACUAGAGGAUGCGAGAGGUAUAUGGACUCAUGGAGUAGGGGUGAAAUCCGUUGAUAUCAUGGGGAACACCAAAAGCGAAGGCAAUAUACUGGCGCACUCCUGACGCUGAGACACGAAAGCGUAGGUAGCGAAUGGG
rnacentral:rRNA from 1 species